rnacentral:sRNA from 1 species
UGACCCUUAUUAAGCCGAGGGUCACCUAGCCAACUGACGUUGUUAGUGAAUACAUUUUGUUCACAUUUAUCUAUCGCCAAUCACGUUUAUUGUGAUUGGCGUUUUUUCU